CGCAUGCACAACCACUAUAAAAAGCCAUCAUCAAUGGAGCCCCGAUACCACGAGUCACCAUGACAACAGAGCAAAAACGGUCAAUUUAUUUCACCCCGGUGGAGUUGGAGGUCCUUAUGCUGGCCUACGGCGAGUAUGAGAACAUUUUUCGCCGCAAAUCCAACACGGCUGCAGCAGCGAAGGAGAGAGAGACGGCAUGGGAGAAAAUUGCUGCGCGAGUCAAUGCGUAAGUUUGAAUGUACUAUUCCACUGACGUAACAUAUAAGAUCGAAGCAUAGUCUAUAGUUAUGAAUAUAAGUAGGAAUGAAAUCUGAUUUUCAUUUAGGUGCAAUCCAACGGGAGAAAAAAGGACUUGGAAGCAGCUCAAAAUGAAACAUAAAAACAUAAUUCAAAAAGGUAAGGCAUAUUUUGCUAGGCUGUGAUUGCACCUCACUUUGGUUUUAAUUUAAUUAUUUUAAAUGGACUUAGGCUAUUAGACAAAGUCAAUAUUAAUUUAAACUAAAAUAUUAAUUCAGCGGCUACUUCAAAUUAUAAUUUAAACCCCAAACAAAAUGUAGUUUUUCAACGUCCUCUCACUUAAUUCUACAGUUCGUGGAUUAACACUUGAUACAAACACAUUUAUAUUUUAGACCUAUUGAAGUCAUUUAAAGUGUGACGCUGUAGCCUACACCAACACUGAUUAAAAUACUAUUUUAAAAUAAACAUUGACUUCUGCUCAGCCAACAGAAAGAAGGCAGAGGCCCGAAAAACGGGUGGAGGGCCACCUCCACUACAUCUGACGGAGGCUGAGGAGCUGGCCCUCAGCCAAAACAGGGGUCGCCCUGUGGCUGAAGGCAUCCCCGGGGGAAGCUCAUCUGAGCCUGUCACCCCCCAGGACACAAGUCCCUACAUCAGAUGCAAGUAUACACUUAUGUCUUUAAAAAAUAAAACUAAUAUAUAAAUAUAUAUAGCCUACUUUUUAACAAAUAUAUAUCCACCCACCCAACAGUUGUGGAUGGUGUCAUCUGCCUGCUUCAGCCUCCGACAGAAACAAAC